GUAUGUUAAUUGGCAACAACUAUAUACUGAAAGUUGGUCACACUGAUCUGAAUAAGUUCUUGUUUUUCUGGAAACUUCUUCUUGUGUUAACUUUCAAACGACUCACAACGGUGUCACGUUUAUGUCAAAUAAAACAGUUAUUGAACUUUAACUAAAUCGCCUCGCGUUUUACUCCACCAUUUCAAAUAGGUUAUGGGCCCAGGAGUAGUAAAGACUUUAAUAAUUGUGUGUGAUCAAGAGAAAAAUAAUUAUUGUAUUUAAUUAGCUUGAACAUUUUUUAUAAACAUGAGCGGACAAGGGCUGUGUGCGAUCGACAAAUUGGACGGCGAAAAUUACGCAGUAUGUGUAGGUGGUAGUGUGCGAGUUAACAUUCCCCCCUCUCUCCGGCCACAGGGAGACAACACCGACCCAGCAACGAAAAGCUGAGAUCCGAGCCAAGAUUCAACGAAGAUCGCCAAUACGAACUCGGACGAAGACAUUUGGGAAAAACAUACAUAUACAUAUUUGUAAUAAGGGUACAAAUUGCUUCACAGGCGACCGUAUAUGUGUACAUCAAUCGCUGAUAAGGCACCGGGAUCGCUUGUGCGGGACAAUUUACAACAAUUAUACCAACAAGUUGCUGUAUGUGAUGACCGUAUAUGUGUACAUCAAUCGCCGACAAGGCACCGGGAUCAUCCAUACACCCUAACUCAUAAAAUAAUACCAACUAAAACAAAAAAACAAAUAAAAAAAAAAAAAAAAAAAUCUGACAUAUCAAACUGCUGUGUGUGGUGACCGUUUGUGUGUGUCGGAUAACACGUGUGCGUAUUUGGGAGAGUAUUGGAAUGCUUUUUGGUUAUUUCAUAAGAAUAGUAAUUAUAUCACUAUGGUAACAUUGCGAAUGGUUGUUGUAGUUCUAUAGUUCUGAGAACAAACGUUUGGC